rnacentral:lncRNA from 1 species
UUAUACAUAUUUUGUAUUUUGUUGUGUACCCUUUUGUUCUCUUUAAAACCAUGUCUACAUAAAGUUUUUCAAUUAAAAGAAGUUUUUAAAACUUGAUGAAUGAAAUGGUCCUGUGCUUUUCUGCCUAACUCUUUUUUCACCCCACUCUUCAUUAUUAGGGGGACUUAGGAGCCAUUGAUGAAAAAUACGACGUGGCUAUAUCAUCCUGUUGUCAUGCACUGGACUACAUUGUUGUUGAUUCUAUUGAUAUAGCCCAAGAAUGUGUAAACUUCCUUAAAAGACAAAAUAUUGGAGUUGCAACCUUUAUAGGUUUAGAUAAGAUGGCUGUAUGGGCGAAAAAGAUGACCGAAAUUCAAACUCCUGAAAAUACUCCUCGUUUAUUUGAUUUAGUAAAAGUAAAAGAUGAGAAAAUUCGCCAAGCUUUUUAUUUUGCUUUACGAGAUACCUUAGUAGCUGACAACUUGGAUCAAGCCACAAGAGUAGCAUAUCA